rnacentral:rRNA from 1 species
UACGAAGGGAGCUAGCGUUGUUCGGAAUUACUGGGCGUAAAGGGCGCGUAGGCGGUACCAUAAGUCAGAUGUGAAAGCCCUGGGCUUAACCUAGGAGGUGCAUUUGAUACUGUGGAACUAGAGAUCGAGAGAGGAAAGUGGAAUUACGAGUGGAGAGGUGAAAUUCGUAGAUAUUCGUAAGAACACCAGUGGCGAAGGCGACUUUCUGGCUCGAUACUGACGCUAAGGCGCGAAAGCGUGGGGAGCAAACAGG